rnacentral:rRNA from 1 species
GCAGCGGAGGGCAGUUCGGCUGCCCCGCGGACGGCUCAGUAACACGUAGUCAACCUACCCUUGGGUCGGGUAUAACCCCGGGAAACUGGGGAUAAUCCCCGAUAGGUGGGGGUACUGGAAAAGUCCCUCUCCCAAAGCUCCGGCGCCCAAGGACGGGACUGCGGCCCAUCAGGUAGUUGGCGGGAUAACGGCCCACCAAGCCGACAACGGGUACGGGCUGUGAGAGCAGGAGCCCGGAGAUGGAGACUGAGUCAAGGCUCCAGGCCCUACGGGGCGCAGCAGGUGCGAAAACUUCGCAAUGCGCGAAAGCGUGACGAGGGAACCCCAAGUGCCGAUGGUCUUUUUGAUCGUCGGCUUUUCAAGAGUUCAAAAAGCUCUUGGAAUAAGAGCUGGGUAAGACUGGUGCCAGCCGCCGCGGUAACACCAGCAGCUCAAGUGGUGGUCGCGAUUAUUGGGCCUAAAGCGUCCGUAGCCGGGCCAGUAAGUCCUUUGUGAAAUCGGACGGCUCAACCGUUCGGCUUGCAGGGGAAACUACAGGCCUUGGGGCCGGUAGACGUUGAGGGUACUCCGGGGGUAGCGGUGAAAUGCUCUAAUCCCUGGGGGACCACCAGUGGCGAAGGCGCUCAACGAGAACGGACCUGACGGUGAGGGACGAAGGCUAGGGGAGCGAACCGGAUUAGAUACCCGGGUAGUCCUAGCUGUAAAGUAUGCUGGCCAGGUGUAGGGCGCUCCACGAGGGCGCCCGGUG